rnacentral:rRNA from 2 species
GGGUUGUGAGGUUAAGCGACUAAGCGUACACGGUGGAUGCCCUGGCAGUCAGAGGCGAUGAAGGACGUGCUAAUCUGCGAUAAGCGUCGGUAAGGUGAUAUGAACCGUUAUAACCGGCGAUUUCCGAAUGGGGAAACCCAGUGUGAUUCGUCACACUAUCAUUAACUGAAUCCAUAGGUUAAUGAGGCGAACCGGGGGAACUGAAACAUCUAAGUACCCCGAGGAAAAGAAAUCAACCGAGAUUCCCCCAGUAGCGGCGAGCGAACGGGGAGCAGUCCAGAGCCUGAAUCAGUGUGUGUGUUAGUGGAAGCGUCUGGAAAGGCGCGCGAUACAGGGUGACAGCCCCGUACACAAAAAUGCACAU